rnacentral:misc_RNA from 1 species
GAUGAAGAACGUAGCGAAAUGCGAUACUUGGUGUGAAUUGCAGAAUCCCGUGAACCAUCGAGUCUUUGAACGCAAGUUGCGCCCGAAGCCAUUAGGCCGAGGGCACGCCUGCCUGGGCGUCACACGUCGUUGCCCCCCCCAUCUACUCCUUCGGGAUUGCGGGGGGCGGAUGAUGGCCUCCCGUGCGCCUCGCCGCGCGGUUGGCAUAAAUGCCAAGUCCUCGGCGACGCACGCCACGACAAUCGGUGGUUGCGAAACCUCGGUUGCCCGUCGUGUGCGGUCGUCGCGCAUCGAGGGCUCGAAAAAAUUGCCGAGUUCCGGCUCGGCUUUCAACGCGACCCCAGGUCAGGCGGGGUUACCCGCUGAAUUUAAGCAUAUCAAUAAGGGAGGA